AUGCUACUCCCUCCGUCCCGAAAUACUUGUCGGGGAAAUGGAUAAAAAUGAAUGCAUCUAGAACUAAGAUACGUCUAGGUACAUCCAUUUCUUCGACAAGUAUUUUAGGACGGAGGGAGUACUCA
rfam:Triticum aestivum genome assembly, contig: Triticum_aestivum_CS42_TGACv1_scaffold_640821_T_2BS-0.197173_1BL-0.188574